CUCGUCAGUUUUUAGGUCUCAAAACCACGCUAUUUCCCUCGGUCUCGGUAAACACAUGUAAAUUAUAAAUAAUGAAUGAAUUGAUGAAUUAAUGAAUUAAUUUUUGAAAAAUUGCAUGUUAGAAAACACUUAGCACGUAAUUCUAUAAUUUUAAUAGUUAGAUGUAUUCGAUGACUUUCUGCAGUUUCCCAAUAGACCAAUCAAACGCAAUUUAGUAUGGGAAACUUUGUCGUUUUAAUUUGAGGUAGAUCAUAGAGCUUAGAAUUUUUUAACAUUGUGAUAUAAUCACGUAAAAUAUAUA